UGCGUAGGCGGAUAUACAAGUCAGAGGUGAAAGCUCACCGCUCAACGGUGGAAUUGCCUUUGAAACUGUAUAUCUUGAAUCAUGUUGAGGUUGGCGGAAUGAGUCAUGUAGCGGUGAAAUGCAUAGAUAUGACUUAGAACACCGAUUGCGAAGGCAGCUGACUAAGCAUGUUAUUGACGCUGAGGCACGAAAGCGUGGGGAGCGAACAGGAUUAGAUACCCUGGUAGUCC
rnacentral:rRNA from 1 species